UACGAAGGGUGCAAGCGUUAUUCGGAAUCAUUGGGCGUAAAGCGCGCGCAGGCGGAUUGAUAAGUCAGGUGUGAAAUCUCGAAGCUCAACUUCGAAACUGCGCCUGAAACUAUUAGUCUGGAGUGUUGGAGGGGGUAGGGGAAUUUCACGUGUAGGGGUAAAAUCCGUAGAGAUGUGAAGGAACACCGGAGGCGAAGGCGCCUACCUGGACAACUACUGACGCUGAGGCGCGAAAGCGUGGGAGCAAACAGGAUUAGAUACCGGGAG
rnacentral:rRNA from 1 species